AUGAUUCCCUUCCAUUCAUUCCAGGAAGAGCUUUGCCAUUACCAUUGUCAUUGCCAUCACCAAGGCUGCCACUCCCGUCUCCCGGUGUUCCCAGACCUUCCCUUGAUGGCCGAUGAUGACAGCAACUGCUUUGCUGUGCAGGAUCACCUGGCACUCCCCUAUAUCACACAAAUCCUCAUGGAGGAGGAGGAUGACGUUGACGAAGACAACCCUGCACUCCUCAAAGCCCAGCGACCCUUUGCCCAAAUCCUCUCUUCCAGCAUGCAUGCCUCCACCUUAAUGGCAGACCAAGGCGGCGCCUUGGCCCUCGACGUGCACUCUCCCAGCUCGCCCAUCUUCAAGUUCAAGGGUGUUGAUGAGGUCCGCAGCUUGCUGUUGCUCCCCGAUGGGGACUACAGCACUCACAUGUUUAGCACUGCCUUCCUCAGGGGCAUGGAAGAGGCCAACAAGUUCUUGCCCACAAACUGUGAGCUGACGACCACCGGUGGGCAUGAUCAACCCAAGGAGAAAAGUGGCAGGGGCCGCAAGGACAGGCAUGGUGAGGUGGAGGCUGAUGUCAGUAGGACUAGCAGAUUGGUGGAAGCUGGUGCCGGCGAGGUGUUCGACCAAAUGCUCACUGCCAUGGGCAAUGAGACUGGGAACAGCAACAAGAAGGGGAGAAAGAGCAAGGCGCGGGUGGUUGACCUGCACACACUGCUGAUCCACUGCGCCAAGGCGGUGAUGGAUGACCGCCGUAGUGCAGGUGAGUUACUCAAGGAGAUCAAGCAGCAUGCAUCACCAACUGGGGAUGCCACACAGCGGCUUGCCUACUGGUUUGCUGAGGGGCUGGAAGCGCGGCUGACCGGCACAGGGAGCCAGGUGUACGGGUUGCUCACGGCGGAGUGCACCUCUACUGUGAGGCAUAUGCAGGCCUACCAGCUGUUCAUGUCCACCUGCUGUUUCAGGAAGGUCGCCUUCUUGUUUGCCAACAAGGCCAUUUUCAAUGCAGCAGUUGGGAAAAGCAGGUUGCAUAUCGUGGAUUAUGGCCUCCAUUCUGGGUUCCAGUGGCCUGAGCUGCUGCGCUGGUUGGCUUCAAGGGAUGGUGGCCCACCGGAGGUCAGGAUCACCCACGUUGAACUCCCACAGCCUGGGGUCUACCCGGAAAAACAUAUGGAGCAGAUAGGUAAUCGGCUGACUGACAUUGCACAAGAGCUUGGUGUGCCGUUCAAGUACCGUGCUAUCAUGGCACAGUGGCAGACCAUUUGCGUUGAGGACCUGGACAUGGAACCUGACGAGGCGCUUGCUGUGAAUGACCAGUUCAAUUUCAGGACCUUAAUGGAUGAGAGUGUCGUCAUAGCCAGCCCGAACCCCAGGGAUGCCGUCCUCGGCAACAUCAGCAAGAUGAAGCCAGACGUGUUUGUCCAAAGCACCGUGAAUGGCUCCUACGGCACCUUCUUCUUGUCACGGUUCAGAGAGGCCCUCUUCUAUCACUCUGCGCUAUUUGACAUGCUUGAUGCAACCAUGCCACGGGAGAGCAAACUGCGGCUGGCGCUGGAGCGUGACGUCUUUGGGUGGAUGGUCCUGAAUGCCAUCGCAUAUGAGGGAGAGGACCGAGUGGAGCGCGGUGAGACCUAUAAGCAUUGGCAGAUCAGAAACCAACGAGCAGGCCUGAGGCAGCUGCCACUGAACAGAGAGACUGUUAAGAUGGCUAGGGACAUGGUCAUGGGUGAGUACCACAAGGAUUUUGACAUAGACGAGGAUCACCAGUGGCUGCUACAGGGAUGGAAGGGUCGUAUUCUCUACGCCCACUCAACAUGGGUGGCAGAGGGAGCUAGCUCCCAUUGUUAG
rnacentral:rRNA from 1 species